rnacentral:rRNA from 1 species
CACGUAGGGCGCGAGCGUUGUCCGGAAUUAUUGGGCGUAAAGAGCUCGUAGGCGGCCUGUUGCGUCCGCUGUGAAAGCCCGGGGCUUAGCCCCGGGUCUGCAGUGGAUACGGGCAGGCUAGAGGUAGGUAGGGGAGAAUGGAAUUCCCGGUGUAGCGGUGAAAUGCGCAGAUAUCGGGAGGAACACCGGUGGCGAAGGCGGUUCUCUGGGCCUUACCUGACGCUGAGGAGUGAAAGCGUGGGGAGCGAACAGG